CGCGCCGUUGGUUGGUGCGGCGUGACGGGGCGUGGCGCGGGCGGCGCCGUUGGUUGGGGCGCGGCUGGAGGGCGCGGCGCUGGUGUCGCCGAUGGAUGGGCACGACCGGCCCGGCCAGUUCAUGGCGUUGCUGCUGUGCCUGGGCAUGACAGCGGCGCUGGCCCUGGGCUGCCUGCACUGCGACCCCAAUUUCUCGAAUAAGUUCUCCUUCUACCGCCACCACGUGAACCUCAAGUCCUGGUGGGUUGGUGACAUCCCCGUGUCGGGAGUGCUGCUCACCGAGUGGAGCCAGAACACGAUGAAGGAACUACACCUGGCCAUCCCCGCCGAGAUCACCCGGGAGAAGCUGGAUCAAGUGGCAGGAGCCGUGUACCAGAGGAUGGACCAGCUGUACCAGGGCAAGAUGUACUUCCCAGGGUAUUUCCCCAAUGAGCUGCGGGCCAUCUUUCGGGAGCAAGUGCGCCUCAUCCAGAACGCCAUCAUAGAGAGCCGCAUCGACUGUCAGCGUCACUGUGGCAUCUUCCAGUAUGAGACCAUCUCCUGCGUCAACUGCACAGACUCACGUGUUGUCUGCUUUGGUUACUACUGCAAGUAUGCCUUAGCCACCUAUCCCACAGCCCUGGGGUCCUGGGCUUUGGGAAUACCCCACCAGCAAGCCUUGUGUUCCCCCAGGUCAUCAACACAGUGGCAGUCAGCUGUGCAGGGUCUUCUGAGUUACAUAAAUACCUGGCACAAGUAAGUUCCUGUUCAAAUCCAUCUCCAGUUUUAUCCAAGACAGUGUGUGUAUGUAUGUACCUUAUGGUGAGAUUUUGAAGCUUGCAUAGACCCAGGAGGACUUUGCCCCCUCCCCCUUGAGGGUUUCUAAGCUCAUCUGGCGGAAGGGGGCAGACCAUCCUGGCUGAAGGGUCUUCAUGAAGUCUAGGGUUACCAAGUUGAUGGCGAACCCGGAGGGUCUAAUCGCUGCCCUGUUCUAUUUUAGUCAGGAUACAAGCACGAGAACCACCCCAGCCUUGUGAGUGACCCAAGGAAUAAGGCAACAAAGAAGCAGGUGGCCUGGGGGGAGAAAGAACUCCAAAAUCAAGUGACCUCUUUGCCACAGAUCCUCGCAUAUCCUACUAAGGCCAUCAUUGUGGGUGUUGGGGAGGGUGGGUAACCCCAACACUCUUUAGGCCUUAAGAACAGGCAGGAAGCAAACCAAAACAAAAAGACAGGGGCUGGAUUUAGUAGUGCAUACCUAUUAAUCCCAGCCUUCUAGGAAGCCUCUGAGACAGGAGAUCUCAAGUAGAGGGUCAACUUGAACUAUAUUAAUGGGUCAUGAAGAGAGGCCUGGGAAGGGAGGCAGGAGGGAAUAAACAGACAAAUGGGCUCAGGGCACCUCUUCCUCCUCCCCUGAAGCCUUUCACCAAGCAUAAGGUGUCUGGAAGUGCAGCACUUGUUGAACCUGACUUUGGAAAACGCCUCUGAGUGUCUGACCCAGCAUUGAUGGCGCUGCUCAGCCCCAGUAUUAGCGGGGGCCAAGACUCAGCUACACUGUUGCCUGUUCCUCUAGGAGAGGCCAGCUGCUACCUGCCUCUGGUCACCCCAUGGAGCCCAGGCUGGGCCGGGGCUGGGGAAGCAGGGAGAUGGGCUUGUGUAUAGAUGGUGGGACCCCUGGGCAGGGCCCCCAGAGAUAUUUUGAUUAAAGUGUCCUGACAUUUCUCAUGAUGAACAAUUCUUUUCUGCCAGAUCUGGCUGGGUAUUUGAUGUAGCUGGAGGCAUGGGCUUUUCUUGAACACGUGUGGGUGUGGAGGAUCUACUCACAGGGAGGGAGGGAUCCAACAACUUGGCUGGCAUCUGCAGCAUCUUCCUCAGGAUCCAGGGACUCUGAUUUAUUCCAGUCCUUUUGAGUUCUUAUGGGCUGAUUUGCAGAGGGGCUGUUCUGUUCUUGUUGACGCAGGAGCAUGCCACAUAGCAGAAGCCCUUAUUACAUUCUCCCUGCCUCCAUUUCCUUAUUGCUGCGAUGACAGGUGUGCAACCUGGCUUGUAUUAAUGGAGCCCAGUCCUGCCCCUCCACUGCUUUGAGAUUAAAGUCUGUCUGUAGCCCAGGCUCACCUUGACCUAUUACCUCAGCCUCAGGGUGGGAUGCACAGUGGGGUGAAAGCUGGGCCAGAUUACUGUCUGGGAUUUCAUCUUGGAAGACCUAGGUCAGAAGAGACAGGUGGGCCACACUCCUCAGAGCACCUGGCAGCAGGUGACCAGAGCCCAGCUGGCUGUCUCGGCUGAGAAAUGGCUGAGUAGGGCUGGCUGUCUGGGCUGGGAGAUGACUGAUGCAGGAGACUCAGGGACUUCUGCUUCUACCUGGUUUCCUUGUUGUCUUCAGUCUCCUGGCCCCAGUGAUAGGCGCACACCUCUCUGUACAUCCCUACAGUUUUUGCUCCUAGGAGCAGCUGCAGGUUAGCCGGGAGGCUGCAUUUUACAAGAAAUACCAAGUGGUAGCAUCUAAAGUCCGUCCUUCCUCCUAAGGGACCAGGACACAGAGCAGGGACACUGGAUGUUUUGUUGGGAGCUCAAGCCGCACUCUUGCCAGUCACCAACCACAAGCAGUGGUCACUCUGUACACUUAGCGACUGCUGACCAUAUCGCUUCUGGGUCCUGGGCAGGGUUGGCAGGAUGCUUAGAACAGCAGAGUGCUGUGCCUCAGAGGCCUGGGUUUGGAAUUUAAGCUGUUGACAGGGCUCAGAGUCUGCUGGAUGACAAAGCUGACUUCUUUGCU